AUAUGUAGAAGAAAUUGAUCAUUCACUGACCUUGUGUUGGUUUGAAAUAAAUGUGAUUCCUGCACAAACAUCUUUUCCACCAAGGUCCUCAAUUAGAAGCUCCAAGAACCAAGUCCACGUCUCUUUGUUUUCUACCUCAACAACAACAUAUGCUAUGGGCAACAUUUGCUCGUUUCCAUCUCUUCCCACUGCUGUUAGUAACUCCCCUCCAUACUUGCCUUUCAAAAAGCAUCCAUCCAAUCCAAUAAUAGGUCUACAACAAACAAAGUUAUCCUUGCACGCCUUCAAGCAUGCAUAAAAUCUUUGGAAUAUGACCUCACCAUUAAUGUUAUCAACUUUAAUUUGAACUGUUGUACCUGGAUUUGUUUUCAGGAGCU
rnacentral:lncRNA from 1 species